rnacentral:rRNA from 1 species
UACGUAGGGUGCAAGCGUUGUCCGGAAUUAUUGGGCGUAAAGAGCUCGUAGGCGGUUUGUCGCGUCUGCUGUGAAAACUCGGGGCUUAACUCCGGGCCUGCAGUGGGUACGGGCAGACUAGAGUGCGGUAGGGGAGACUGGAAUUCCUGGUGUAGCGGUGAAAUGCGCAGAUAUCAGGAGGAACACCGGUGGCGAAGGCGGUUCUCUGGGCCUUACCUGACACUGAGGAGCGAAAGCGUGGGGAGCGAACAGG